rnacentral:lncRNA from 1 species
AAGAUUUGAAAGAGAACAUUUGAACCCCCUAAAACAACAGGAUCGCUUCCAGGUUACAGUAUUGAAAUUAGAAUCAACCACUAUUAUUACACCACAUCUCUUACCAAAUCAUAUCAUCUUCGAUAAGAAGAAUCACUGUCAACUAUUCCAGCUAUGACUUACAUCUGAAUCUCAAUAGCUCAACUCUAGCUAGCACCAACCUUAUCAAUCUUCCUGCACACUUCUUGAUCACUGGAUCCUUAACACCUCUGACUCCUCGCCUAGCCUUAGCUUUACUCGCAAUCAUAGACACAUCUCUUACCAAAUCAUAUCAUCUUCGAUAAGAAGAAUCACUGUCAACUAUUCCAGCUAUGACUUACAUCUGAAUCUCAAUAGCUCAACUCUAGCUAGCACCAACCUUAUCAAUCUUCCUGCACACUUCUUGAUCACUGGAUCCUUAACACCUCUGACUCCUCGCCUAGCCUUAGCUUUACUCGCAAUCAUAGACUAGCCAUUCAUCUUUAAUCCUUUCUGAAAUGAUUAAGAAAGGAAUAGCAAGAGUGAGCAACAAUGCUCAGCAAGUAAUAAUAAACAAUGAAAGUUCUGAAGUGAUAUAACAGAAAUUCUCGAGUUCAAGAUAUAAAAAGAUUCAACCUGAGUUCACAAAUUCAGGUAUUGUAUAAAAGAAUCACAAUACCUUGCAGCAAUAGAAACCUGAGGAAUUCAAUCCUUCACAAGAGAAUUAUUGAAUUGGACUAUCACAUUUUAAUUAAAAACCAAGGUUAGGAUGCUGAUCAGUCAUACCUAACCCCGAGCAGGCCCCGCCAUGCUCUGUCACUGGAUCCAAGGCACUCAUUGGCCUAACAUGACCACUCAUCUGGUCUGACCACUCAUUUGGUCCACAUAAUUUUAUAAAAACAAUAAUCCAAUUCUAUAAUUCAGUUCAUGAAACCAAUGUAAAUUAACAGAACAUAAUCAUAAUCAUCAUCAACAACUGAAUAAUUUCAAAUCAAACUUUGAUAAUAAACUUUUCAUAAGUCACAGUCCAUUCUUUCAUAAAUCAUCGUUCAGGAAAUCCCUAACUAUUCAAUAUCCUCCAUUAUCGGCUAAGCAACUGAAUUUAGCCUGCUAAACCAGCAUGACAAUGGCGGGUUGAAUAAUCAAGAAGAUCCCAAUUCAUUCAAAGCUCUAACUAUCACUGAGCAACACAUGCUUCAAUGACAAUCUGAACUUCGAAUUAAUUUGUAAAACGGAGAUUCUUUAGAAACUUGAAGAUUAGAAAGAAUGGGUUAGAAUACUCGCACUUUCGAACAUUGAAAAGAAAGGUAUGAAUACUUGAAACAUAGACCAAAGGAAUGGAUCAGAAUAUUUGCAAUAUAUCCAAGAGAAAGGUUUAGGAUACUUGCCUUAAAUCUGACUCCAGUUUCACAGCUCAUUCUCAUCUUUCAACUUUCACAAUCUACGCAUCUCGUAAUCUCUAGACCAUCUCUAGCUAUACUCUAUUCGCCACAUCGCUUCGCUUACUCGAUACAUCCCUUAUUCGCUUUGCAAUACCAUUCCGACUUUCUGACGUCUUCGAGCGUACACGUCUCCUCCAAAUC